GUUCAGAGAGUGCUCAAGUACCCGCUGCUGCUCAAGGAGCUGGUGUCCCUGACGGACCAGGAGAGCGAGGAGCACUACCACCUGACGGAGCACUAAAGGCAAUGGAGAAAGUAGCGAGCCACAUCAAUGAGAUGCAGAAGAUCUAUGAGGAUUAUGGGACCGUGUUUGACCAGCUAGUAGCUGAGCAGAGCGGAACAGAGAAGGAGUAACAGAACUUUCGAUGGGAGAGCUUCUGAUGCACUCUACGGUUUCCUGGUUGAAUCCAUUUCUGUCUCUAGGAAAAGCUAGAAAGGACCUUGAGCUCACAGUAUUUGUUUUAAGAGAGCCGUCAUACUGGUUUAUAAAGAAAACUGCAAACUGAAAAAGAAAUUGCCUCGAAUUCCCGGCCUGCACACAACUCUACUGACUUGGACCCAUUUAAAUUCCGCUGGUUGAUCCCCAUCUCCGCGCUUCAAGUCAGACUGGGGAAUCCAGCAGGACAGAAAAUAAUUCCAUAUGGGAACUGAUCCAUACGAAGUCAGAAAUAGAAGGACGGCCAGAAA
rnacentral:lncRNA from 1 species